rnacentral:rRNA from 1 species
AACGAACGCUGGCGGCAUGCCUAACACAUGCAAGUCGAACGAGACCUUCGGGUCUAGUGGCGCACGGGUGCGUAACGCGUGGGAAUCUGCCCUGGGGUUCGGAAUAACAGUUGGAAACGACUGCUAAUACCGGAUGAUGACGUAAGUCCAAAGAUUUAUCGCCCAAGGAUGAGCCCGCGUAGGAUUAGCUAGUUGGUGAGGUAAAGGCUCACCAAGGCGACGAUCCUUAGCUGGUCUGAGAGGAUGAUCAGCCACACUGGUACUGAGACACGGCCCAGACUCCUACGGGAGGCAGCAGUGGGGAAUAUUGGACAAUGGGCGAAAGCCUGAUCCAGCAAUGCCGCGUGAGUGAUGAAGGCCUUAGGGUUGUAAAGCUCUUUUAACCGGGAUGAUAAUGACAGUACCGGGAGAAUAAGCUCCGGCUAACUCCGUG